GGAGGGAGAGAGAAAGAGAGAGAGAGUGAAAUAACUGUAUUCUCAAAAAUAACAUCAAGUGGCAUACUACCUGUUGAUCUUUGAUUUCCACCCCAUUACCAUGCCACUUAAACUUUUGAUAAAAUUGUCAAUACCUUGUUGAACAAAGCCGUGUUUUUUUGGCCCUUUGGCCCUGUUUGAUUUAACUGUUAAAUACAGCUGAUAGCUAAUGAUAACUAAUUUAUGU
rnacentral:misc_RNA from 1 species